rnacentral:rRNA from 1 species
UACAGAGGGUGCAAACGUUGUUCGGAUUUACUGGGCGUAAAGCGCGUGUAGGCGGCUUUGCAAGUCGGAUGUGAAAGCCCACGGCUCAACCGUGGAAGUGCAUCCGAAACUGCAUAGCUGGAGUCCCGGAGAGGAAGGUGGAAUGCUUGGUGUAGAGGUGAAAUUCGUAGAUAUCAAGCAGAACACCUGCGGCGAAGGCGGCCUUCUGGACGGUGACUGACGCUGAGACGCGAAAGCGUGGGGAGCAAACAGG